GAAGGUAUAGCUCAGUGGUAGAGUGCAUGCCUAGCAUGCAUGAAGUCCUGGGUUCAAUCCCCAGUACCUCCA
rnacentral:tRNA from 1 species